rnacentral:rRNA from 1 species
UACGGAGGGUGCGAGCGUUGUCCGGAAUCACUGGGCGUAAAGGGCGCGUAGGUGGCGCGGGCAGUCAACGGUGAAAGUUCGGGGCUCAACCCUGGAUCGGCCGUCGAUACUCCCGGGCUUGAGCACUGUAGAGGCAGAUGGAAUUCCGGGUGUAGCGGUGGAAUGCGUAGAGAUCCGGAAGAACACCGGUGGCGAAGGCGGUCUGCUGGGCAGUAGCUGACACUGAGGCGCGACAGCGUGGGGAGCGAACAGG